rnacentral:lncRNA from 1 species
GCGACACAGUCUGUGAAUCGGUGAUGAAGUCAUGGUGAUGAGGACGGAAAAAUUCAUCCUCGGCUCUAGUUCAAAGUACCGCUUGAUGCUAAUAAUUAACGGUAUGGACUUUUUUUUUUUAAUCUAUUGAAGAUUGUUUAUGUUGCUUAAAAGGUUAAGUAAUGAGCUCAGUCACAUGAGCAGGUAACGACGCUUGUCACAAAGCCUGAUGGCCAUGUGUUGAUCUGGCUCCCACAAGUUAGCCCCUGACCUCUACGCGUGCACUGUAUGUCGCACACGUAUGUAACACCUAUACAAAUAAACGUUAACUGU